GUUUGAUCCUGGCUCAGAGCGAACGUUAGCGGCAGGCUUAACACAUGCAAGUCGAGCGAGAAAGGGGCUUCGGCUCCGAGUAAAGCGGCGGACGGGUGCGUAACACGUGGAUAAUCUGCCUCGUGGCGGGGGACAACAGUCCGAAAGGACUGCUAAUACCGCAUGUCAGGUCGGAAAACUCCGGUUUCUGACGAAAAAGAGGGCACCCGCAAGGGGCUCUCACCACGAGAUGAGUCCGCGUCCCAUCAGCUAGUUGGCGGUGUAAUAGACCACCAAGGCUUAGACGGGUAGCUGGUCUGAGAGGAUGACCAGCCACACUGGGACUGAGACACGGCCCAGACUCCUACGGGAGGCAGCAGUGGGGAAUAUUGGACAAUGGGCGAAAGCCUGAUCCAGCCAUGCCGCGUGAGUGAUGAAGGCCUCGGUCGUAAGUACUCUGUGGGUAGGGACGGAAAA
rnacentral:rRNA from 1 species